rnacentral:rRNA from 1 species
UACGGGAGGCAGCAGUGGGGAAUAUUGCACAAUGGGCGCAAGCCUGAUGCAGCCAUGCCGCGUGUAUGAAGAAGGCCUUCGGGUUGUAAAGUACUUUCAGUCGUGAGGAAGGUGUUAAGGUUAAUAACCUUAGCAAUUGACGUUAGCGACAGAAGAAGCACCGGCUAACUCCGUGCCAGCAGUCGCGGUAAUACGGAGGGUGCGAGCGUUAAUCGGAAUUACUGGGCGUAAAGGGCACGCAGGCGGUUAAUUAAGUUGGAUGUGAAAUCCCCGGGCUUAACCUGGGAAUGGCAUUCAAGACUGGUUAGCUAGAGUCUUGUAGAGGGGGUAGAAUUCCAUGUGUAGCGGUGAAAUGCGUAGAGAUGUGGAGGAAUACCGGUGGCGAAGGCGGCCCCUGGACAAAGACUGACGCUCAUGUGCGAAAGCGUGGGGAGCAAACAGGGAUUAGAUACC